CUGGAGUCAUGUCUCCAGCCCCUUAAUCAUAUUCUUAAAGACUCUACCUGGAUGGAUGAAGGACUUCAAGCAGAAUAGCCCAAAGUGGGCUGUAGAUGGGGAUGUUUGGGGUCAGUUCUGCCAGCAACCCAGUAGAGUGAAUAACCAAGCCUGCAUAACACGGUGACACCGUAAACCCCAAACUCAUUUUGAGGAACAUGAAGUGGGCUUUAUGCACUCCAGAAGAGAGUAUUAGGUUCCAUUACAGAUCCGUGUGACACCAAAUUGAACUCAGGACCUCUGGAAGAGCAGUCAGUGCUCCUAACUACUGAACCAUCUCUCCAUCUCCCUAAGUAGGCUUUAUAAAAUAUCAAGCAAAACACACAAUUUUACAUCUUUUUCCCAGA
rnacentral:lncRNA from 1 species